ensembl:miRNA
UGAGGCAGGAGUAUCGCUUGAACCCAGGAAGUGGAGGCUGCAGUGAGCCAAGAUCGAGCCACUGCACUCCAGCCUGGGUGACAGAGCAAGACUCCAGUCUC